GAUGAACGCUGGCGGCGUGCCUAAUACAUGCAAGUCGAGCGAACAGACGAGGAGCUUGCUCCUCUGACGUUAGCGGCGGACGGGUGAGUAACACGUGGAUAACCUACCUAUAAGACUGGGAUAACUUCGGGAAACCGGAGCUAAUACCGGAUAAUAUAUUGAACCGCAUGGUUCAAUAGUGAAAGACGGUUUUGCUGUCACUUAUAGAUGGAUCCGCACCGCAUUAGCUAGUUGGUAAGGUAACGGCUUACCAAGGCAACGAUGCGUAGCCGACCUGAGUGGGUGAUCGGCCACACUGGAACUGAGACACGGUCCAGACUCCUACGGGAGGCAGCAGUAGGGAAUCUUCCGCAAUGGGCGAAAGCCUGACGGAGCAACGCCGCGUGAGUGAUGAAGGUCUUCGGAUCGUAAAACUCUGUUAUUAGGGAAGAACAAAUGUGUAAGUAACUAUGCACGUCUUGACGGUACCUAAUCAGAAAGCCACGGCUAACUACGUG
rnacentral:rRNA from 1 species